rfam:Epilithonimonas sp. 36-9 SCNpilot_cont_300_bf_scaffold_366, whole genome shotgun sequence.
UUCAAGCCUCCGCAAUAGCGAUAGUAACGGUUAUCCUUUUGUCUUGUUUUGCAAAAGAAGACAAAAGAUAAUAGUGGAUAGCGCGACCCGAG